rnacentral:tRNA from 1 species
GGUCUAUUAGUGUAGUGGUUAUCACCUUCGGUUCUGAUAUCCGAAAGACCGGAGUUCGAAUCUCCGAUGGACCU